ACGAACGCUGGCGGCGUGCCUAAUGCAUGCAAGUCGAGCGACGCUUCCUGCGGCGUAAGCCAAGGGAAUGACGGAGCGGCGAACGGGUGAGUAACACGUGAGCAACCUGCCCCGAAGACCGGGAUAGCCCAGGGAAACCUGGAUUAAUACCGGAUACCCUCGAAUGUCCGCCUGGACGACCGAGGAAAUGCUUUUGCGCUUCGGGAUGGGCUCGCGGCCUAUCAGCUUGUUGGUGGGGUAACGGCCUACCAAGGCAUCGACGGGUAGCUGGUCUGAGAGGACGAUCAGCCACACUGGGACUGAGACACGGCCCAGACUCCUACGGGAGGCAGCAGCAGGGAAUCUUGCGCAAUGGGCGAAAGCCUGACGCAGCAACGCCGCGUGGGGGAUGACGGCCUUCGGGUUGUAAACCCCUUUCAGGAGGGAAGAAAUUGACGGUACCUCCAGAAGAAGCCCCGGCCAACUACGU
rnacentral:rRNA from 1 species